rnacentral:lncRNA from 1 species
UGUGACGUCGAGAUUCUCUACGUCGGUCACGUGCGGCAACAUGGUGUCGAGAGUCGCCGUCGGGUUCCUGCCGUAAACCAGCUUGAACGGCAUGAUCUGCGUUGUUCCUUGCACCGCCGUGUUGCAAGCGAAUGUUACGCACGGCAGGACGGCAUCUUUCGUCUUGUGCUCGACAUCGACGUAAAUUGCAGGCAUUUCAGUGAGGGCCUUGUUCAGCCGCUCCGUACGACCAUUCGUCUGCGCGUGGUAGGCAGUUGUCCUCGUGUGGCUUGUAUGGCUGUAUUGCAAAAUGGCUUGGGUGAGCUCUACAGUAAAAGCCGUUCCACUC